GCGUUUGUGGUUUAAUGGUAAAAUCCAUCGUUGCCAUCAUCAUCUUUUCUCCAAAAGAGAUUGUGAAACAACGUCGAUGGGCUCCGGGUUCGAUUCCCGGCGAACGCA
rnacentral:tRNA from 1 species